UACGGAGGGUGCAAGCGUCAUCCGGAUUCACUGGGUUUAAAGGGAGCGUAGGCGGGCUUGUAAGUCAGUGGUGAAAUCUCCGGGCUUAACUCGGAAACUGCCAUUGAUACUAUAAGUCUUGAAUUAUCUGGAGGUAAGCGGAAUAUGUCAUGUAGCGGUGAAAUGCUUAGAUAUGACAUAGAACACCCAUUGCGAAGGCAGCUUACUACGGGUAUAUUGACGCUGAGGCUCGAAAAGCGUGGGGAUCAAACAGG
rnacentral:rRNA from 1 species